rnacentral:misc_RNA from 1 species
CCGAGUUUACAACUCCCAAACCCCUGUGAACAUACCACUUGUUGCCUCGGCGGAUCAGCCCGCUCCCGGUAAAACGGGACGGCCCGCCAGAGGACCCCUAAACUCUGUUUCUAUAUGUAACUUCUGAGUAAACCGUAAAUAAAUCA